rnacentral:lncRNA from 1 species
CUUGUGCCUUCGUUAAAAGUCAAUUCAUCUUUGACAUGUUUUACUUCUCAGUUGUUCCUGGAGGAAGCUCGCAUUCUGUCGAAUAUAUGACAGGGCCUGUUCCUGUCAUCGUUUUCCGCUGGUCUGUCAUUGUGGAAAUCCCACGAGAUUUAGAAGAACCUCUGACGACAGUGUUUUUGCUGGCGUGAAACAAAUCACUUAAAUACGUAGCUCCUUCACAAACUGUCGGAUAGAAACUCUUCUGGGACUCAGAUCGUCUUUCCGUAUCACCAACUUUCUUAAGAGUCCCCGACAACGUCUGCCCGUAAAGCCCUUCACAGACACUCACACCGUGUCCCAGUUCCGUAGAUAGCCUUUUUUUUGGGCUGCCGGUUCCACUAUUGAUUUCCCAAUUCGUGCUACCCUCCUUCGCAAGACAUGUCGCUUCCUGGAGGUCCGCUUGGCAUUCCUGGACGAGCGAGCGAGGACAAGACGGGAACGGCCACUGAGUUCCACAAGGAAAGCCCAGGGCGACUGUCUCCCCAAGCCAGCCACAAAUGGCGUCCUCACUGCGCAAGUCUACUUCUUUCUCUCUAUUUUUUUGUCAUUCUGGUAGUUCUCCCUUCUCGCAUGUCUGACAAUUUCUCUUCAACCAGGGCUUUCAUGGCUGAGGCAGCCAGCAGUGGAUCUCGGGGGCGUGUCGACCUGGAUUCUGUGAAAGUUGAUGGUGAUGAGAAGACGGCAGCAACUGCAUCGACGCUCUCUGGUGCCCACAAUGAGACAGUGGACAAUAUUGUGAAAGGAGGUGGAGUACCGAGGGGCCAGGAUACCGACAUAAUGCCUCGUGCAACGAUCACAUCGCGAAGCACAAAGUUUUCUUCGCGCGUCGCAUUCCGUCGGACUGGGAUAUUAGCGAUGACAUUCGUCGCCAGUCUCUGGUGCGGUUGUCGCUUUGUUGACUCUGAAACGGUCCAAGCAGAAGACAAGGGAUAUGCAGCCACCGUCCGCUGGUGCCUGUGAGUCGUAGAACUGCCUGCGAAUUGCUUUCCGACGCCUCUGCACACACACACAGCGCAGGAAGCGAUACUCAGGUGAAGAGUUUACGGUGCUUGGCAGUGAGUCUGAAGUUUCCUGCGGAAUUCGGUGGCAACGGUAAUCAAUUUUCGAGCGGUCGCGUUGUCUUUGCUGCUCUCAUUAGGGACGUAAGUCGCAUGCGUGACACGCACAGAUGUCGUCUCGUUGAGGUGGCGGCCUGCUUGCACACACAGAGAAUCAGGCAAAAAGGCAAAGUGGUACCAGAACACUUUCACUGUCUUUGGACUUUCUUUCGAUGGGUCGCAUCUGCCUAGCCAAAUCUCGUGGGCUUGAAGCAGAGUCGCGGAACGGUCCGUGUGUAUUAACACGUGGAAAAGUGCAGCCAAUAGACGCUGAGCACAUCAUGGUCUCAAUUUAGUCAUGCAAUAAAGGGUUACAAUAGUGAAGCUGCAAUCACCUGACAUUUAUGGCCCCAAUCAGAAUACAAGUAAGGCAAAGCGUGUCCAGAAGCAGUAGGGCAAACUGACCUACCGUCGCGUUCUGUGUUGCUGGGGAUUGGGAAAAAGGGCAUCCUCGGCUGGCUAGAUGUAGAAAGGGAUCCCUUGUCACUUUUGUGGUUUUGGCGCUGAGGUUGAGGUUCUGAGUGUAACAUCCCAGCAGGCAGAUAUCAAGUAAUUCUACAUACCCGAGAACACUAGGCACCGCCUAGAUUGGCGACUGGGUUCGACACCCGAGCAUCAGACCAAAGAGUUCACUAACUGUACUAGCACCCCCCAAAAGGAUAUCCCGAUAGUCUUUGUGCACCCGAAGCAGAGCCAGCAGAGCUGAAGAUGAAAUGCCUGGAACCAUAGUUGAGGCUGACGCUGAAGGUUGUUUUUGGAUUGGCGGUCGUUGGCGCCAUUGCACUACUAGUACGUUUUCCUGCAGGCUGUUGGAGAGUCUUCUCAUUGUUUCUUUACUUCGAAGACAGCAGGGCACCUGUAGGAAACUAAGUCUCCAACUAUUUCGUGGGUCGCUGCGGCGGCGUUGUAUCAAUAGGUAGCUGCAUUGUCUCCUUGCUUUUUUUUUAUCUCCAUGCGUCCAAGAUCGUUCGCUCAUCACUUCACAGAAUAACGUUUUUAUGCAGCUGGGCUAUCACCGUAGGGCUAUCCACUGCGCGGGACUACUGCUUGCAUGCUCCACGGCAUCAUCCCGCGCCCCCGAAGGUUACUGACUUACUCACGCUUCCGAUUCAUCCUACUGGAGUGCUACAGUACUUCAGCACAGUAAGCGUUAAGGAUGCAGAUGUAUAUUUUGAAGUUAUUUUUUGGAAGGGGUCAGCGGCGGAAGAGCUUCUCGGCCAGCAGCCACCCAACAAAGCAAAAAUUCGACUCACGCAGCGAACGCUGGGGCUCGCUGACCCUGAUUCAAACUAAGAGCAUUGCGCGGGGGAUGAAGGCUUCCAGCAGCUGGGGUGGUCCCGGUUGAUCGGUUCCGCCUCAAGCACUGCAGGAAUAUCUUGACCAACGACCGCCUCAUGCGUGCAAAAGGGACCAUGUGGCACUUAUGUUUGUUUAAAUGAGUGUUGAUAAGACGCUGCUCACGUGUCACUCAUAUGAACUGAAGUUAACAGUUCAUAGCAAAACUGGAGCUUCUUCCAGGUGCCAGAAGUACUUUUACGAGCCGUGCGGGGGACGGGAUCAGAAGCAGCAUUCUCGUAGUUUUGCCGUCGCUGCCACUCGCGGCCAAAAGCGGAUCUUGAGAACGCACGAAUUGUUUUGUUCUAGAGAGCCGUUUUUCGCGGUUGACCGGGACCCUCACUUUGUUGACAGGCAGCGAGUGGCAUUCUGGCUUUUCUUCUUCUGAGAGGUGUCGUUUCUGCGAGCACAGGCGUGCUGAUGUGCGCCGGCUCGAGCAUGACGACGCUUUGCGCGUCUGAUGGCAUGAAAAAGACGCGUUGCAACGGGAACAGGAUAACGCGAUUGUAGAGGAUUCCGAUCAGAUGUAUGAGCGUUUCGUCUUACCCGUUCGUAGAUUCGUUGGAGAUAGAAGCGUACAUAUCGUAUGCUGGUACUUGUCUGCCAUAUAGUUACGUGCCUAGUAGGAAAAAGUACCAUUGAGGCUUCUGUUCCAGCAGGGCGGGCGCUACUUACACAACUUCCGCAGGUUGCAGAUUUGUGAUAGAGAGCCACUUCCAUUUCUUACUUGUGGCGUGUCUCUCUUUCGGGCAACACUAACGCCAGUUGGAGGCCACCGAUCAUUCGAGGGGUUCUCUGGUUUGCAAGUAGGAAAUAAGCGCCUCAGCUAUUUUGAUUGUCAGUGGAUGUGGACACUUUUACUAUCUGAUUCGUGGAAGUGGACGAUCGUAUAAUGAGGCGUCAAUGGGAGUGGCUUAGGACUCUACGAGCUUACUGAUCACUGGUGUGGAGACGGAUGGCUGCACGCUGGGUGUUCGCGAGCCACUGCUGACGUCGGCCUUGAAAGGGGACUGGGGAUCAGCGGAAUCACUUUGGACAACAAAGGCAGAGCGAAUGCUGGCCUGGUAGGCGACGGAUGGUUGGCCGAGCCAUGGAGGACAUAAUGAAAUCAAGUGAGGGGACCUUUUUUGGAUGUCUCCAGACGCAGCCAGUAAGUGUCCAUAUCCUGGUUAUGUUGUGCACUGUCUUGUUACUUCACCUGGCCAUGUGGCUAGGUGUGCCAGAUUGUGUGCCACCCCGUCUGGAUAUCGGCCGAUUUAGGGCUCCGGAACAUUGGCGCAGGCAUUAAGAAACGUGUGUCAGAAGGAAGCACGAAGUCUCUCAUUGCCACGUAUCAGUAUGGUCUCCGUUCAGGAUUCACCAUUAUACACUGUGUUUCCAGGCAAGAGUACAUGCUGCGCCAGCAGACUCCGACUGCCAGGGUUGUAAAGGACGCAUGUUGGGGUGCAGAGGUAGCAACACAC